AAAAACGUGGUUUUCUCAACAAAAAACAUAAUUGGCGACGAGGAUGGGAUCUCUUUAAAUAUUUCGGAAAUAAUAGCGCGACGGGAAUCUCGCGACGUAUUAUCUGAAAUAUUGUGCCGGUCGUAGAAGUGAAAAAUAAAAACUUUCUUUCGACUAUCAGUUUCAACUGUUAAGGUGAGAAGCAACCCCUAAGAAGAAAACCAGAGGCUCGAUCACUGGAGUAGCGCCCAGGACAGUUUCAACUUCAAACAAGGAAUAUCAACGAGGUGAGCAAUCCUUUCUAACUGACUCCCAGUUUACCUAUUCUGGCCCAAAAAUAGUCAACCUUUUCCCAAGUUUUGAGCGUAAAACUUGUAUAAAAGUUUUUUCUAGGUUUCUUAUAAAAAACCGAUCACAAAGUUUUUCCUAGGUUUCUUAUUAUAAAAACCGAUCAUUAAAAUUAUCAAUAUUACUUCUUUUAAACAGUUCCACGGUAAGAAAGAAAAGAAAGUAGCUAGAGUUAAAAUGGAUUUAUCAACUGCAGAAAAGUUUGGAUCACUCCUUCCUAAAUUUUCAGGAAUGGAGAACGAACUCCAUUCUUUUAUUAAAAACGUAGAAAG